rnacentral:rRNA from 1 species
UACGGGGGGGGCAAGCGUUGUUCGGAAUUACUGGGCGUAAAGGGCUUGUAGGUGGCCAACUAAGUCAGACGUGAAAUCCCUCGGCUUAACCGGGGAACUGCGCCUGAUACUGGAUGGCUGGAGUGUGGGAGAGGGAUGCGGAAUUCCAGGUGUAGCGGUGAAAUGCGUAGAUAUCUGGAGGAACACCGGUGGCGAAGGCGGCAUCCUGGACCAUUACUGACACUGAAAAGCGAAAGCCAGGGGAGCAAACAGG